GACGUAGGGUCCAAGCGUUGUCCGGAUUUACUGGGCGUAAAGAGCGCGUAGGCGGUCUGUUAAGUGCACGAGUGAAAUCCCUGGGCUCACCCCAGGAACUGCUCUGCAUACUGGCAGACUUGAGGUCGAAGAGGUUGUGGAAUUCCCGGUGUAGCGGUGAAAUGCGUUGAUAUCGGGAGGAACACCAUGGCGAAGGGCAGCAAACUGGUCGGCAUCGUGACGCUGAGGCGGCGAAAGCGUGGGAGCGAACAGG
rnacentral:rRNA from 1 species